CGCGGGGCUCUCGUGCGCGUACGAGCUCAGCAAGAACCCGUCAAUCCGUGUGGCGAUAAUCGAGCAGUCCGUCAGUCCCGGCGGCGGCGCGUGGCUCGGGGGCCAGCUGUUCUCAGCCAUGGUGGUGAGGAAGCCUGCUCAUCACUUCCUUGAUGAGCUUGGCAUCGAGUAUGAUGAGCAGGACAACUACGUUGUGAUCAAGCAUGCCGCUCUGUUCACUUCCACCAUCAUGAGCAAGCUCUUGGCCAGGCCUAAUGUGAAGCUCUUCAACGCCGUGGCCGCUGAGGAUUUGAUUGUGAAGGAAGAGAGGGUGGCCGGCGUAGUCACCAACUGGGCUUUGGUUUCAAUGAACCACGACACACAGUCCUGUAUGGACCCCAAUGUGAUGGAGGCGAAGGUGGUGGUGAGCUCUUGCGGCCACGACGGGCCCUUCGGAGCCAC
rnacentral:lncRNA from 1 species